AGAGUUUGAUCCUGGCUCAGAGCGAACGCUGGCGGCAGGCUUAACACAUGCAAGUCGAGCGGGCGUAGCAAUACGUCAGCGGCAGACGGGUGAGUAACGCGUGGGAACGUACCUUUUGGUUCGGAACAACACAGGGAAACUUGUGCUAAUACCGGGUAAGCCCUUACGGGGAAAGAUUUAUCGCCGAAAGAUCGGCCCGCGUCUGAUUAGCUAGUUGGUGAGGUAAUGGCUCACCAAGGCGACGAUCAGUAGCUGGUCUGAGAGGAUGAUCAGCCACAUUGGGACUGAGACACGGCCCAAACUCCUACGGGAGGCAGCAGUGGGAAUAUUGGACAAUGGGCGCAAGCCUGAUCCAGCCAUGCCGCGUGAGUGAUGAAGGCCCUAGGGUUGUAAAGCUCUUUUGUGCGGGAAGAUAAUGACGGUACCGCAAGAAUAAGCCCCGGCUAACUUCGUGCCAGCAGCCGCGGUAAUACGAAGGGGGCUAGCGUUGCUCGGAAUCACUGGGCGUAAAGGGUGCGUAGGCGGGUCUUUAAGUCAGAGGUGAAAUCCUGGAGCUCAACUCCAGAACUGCCUUUGAUACUGAAGAUCUUGAGUUCGGGAGAGGUGAGUGGAACUGCGAGUGUAGAGGUGAAAUUCGUAGAUAUUCGCAAGAACACCAGUGGCGAAGGCGGCCCACUGGCCCGAUACUGACGCUGAGGCACGAAAGCGUGGGGAGCAAACAGGAUUAGGUACCCUGGUAGUCCACGCCGUAAACGAUGAAUGCCAGCCGUUAGUGGGUUUACUCACUAGUGGCGCAGCUA
rnacentral:rRNA from 1 species